rnacentral:rRNA from 1 species
UAGCCAGACUCCUACGGGAGGCAGCAGUGGGGGAUAUUGCACAAUGGGGGAAACCCUGAUGCAGCGACGCCGCGUGGGUGAAGAAGCGCCUCGGCGCGUAAAGCCCUGUCAGCAGGGAAGAAAAUGACGGUACCUGAAGAAGAAGCCCCGGCUAACUACGUGCCAGCAGCCGCGGUAAUACGUAGGGGGCAAGCGUUAUCCGGAUUUACUGGGUGUAAAGGGAGCGUAGGCGGCCUGGCAAGCCUGAUGUGAAAUACCGGGGCCCAACCCCGGGGCUGCAUUGGGAACUGCCAGGCUGGAGUGCCGGAGAGGCAGGCGGAAUUCCUAGUGUAGCGGUGAACUGCGUAGAUAUUAGGAGGAACACCAGUGGCGAAGGCGGCCUGCUGGACGGUGACUGACGCUGAGGCUCGAAAGCGUGGGGAGCAAACAGGAUUAGAUACCCGCGUA